CAAAGCAGACUUUAAUUUCUUUGCUCACAAGCACAUGAUAAGACAGCAGAGCACAAGACUGUCCACAGACUUUAUUACCAAAACUAUUCCAGCUACUGCUGUGAAUGACUUGAAAUUCGGUUUCAUGGACUUCCUGGCAGAUAAGAUAGCAUUUAUGAGUUGCCUUAGCAUUCCUACAUUUGAAGCAAUAUGAAGUAUGAUUGGCAGCAACCCAAUUUCAUUAUUCUUAGAUGAGUCAAUAAGUGUGGAAAGAGAAAUGAAAUGGGCAGCCAAUCAACACACAUACAAAAAAAUCAGACAUUCUGAGGCCAAGCAAGUAUUUAUAUGCUGAUGACUCAACUUUUGCAGCAGCGUCUGCAGCAAGAACAGGAAAUAUACUAUUGAACCCUCUUAUGACAACAACUUUGAUGUGAAAGGCCGGAAUAGCUCAUUCUGCCUGCUCUGAUUCAGAAAGCUGGAGCUGUAAUCCUGGAUCUCUGCAGAAUGCACUCACAAGAGCUUCUGAGCUCAUUAAAGGACAUCAGAAAUACAAGGGUCCUGCAGGACACAUGCAUUUCUGGGGUUUGCAACUUCAGAACUAAUACAGCACAGCAGAAGAGGCCUUUUAAUCCUGCUUAUUAGCAAAUGGGAGUUUCUGACAUAACCCAAAGGCUCUGGCAGACAGACACCACACAGCUGAAGGACAGACACUGCAGCACAACGGAUUCCAAGCACUGAAACCUCUGGCAAAUGAGCUCCACUGGAGAAGCAGCAUUCUUGUUUUCAGGGAAGAAGCCACCUUAUUCAGACUAAUACUUACUCUUCUGAAGACAUGUCAUCUUCCAUAAAACAAAAUGAGGUGCUGAUAGCUUGGAUGAAGCAGCUGGAUAAAAGGGUAGGAGAAAAUGCAGGCUCACAGCGGAAUGGAGGUACUUAAAACCCAAACAAAAAGCUGAAGCUUUCAACCACUGAAGAGCGUGCAUUAUUUACCGUGUGCCACUGGACCAAGCAAGUUUCUUAGCUGGCCACAGUUUACCCAUUUCCCCUAGCAGGCAGCAAGAAAUGCAGUGCACUGACAAGCAGGGUGAGAGGGGAUAGAUCUGGGAUACCCUCCUCCACAAAACUGCAUGUGCCCAGAUCACAGCCAGAGGCUGGAUGAGGUGGGCGGCAUUUCUCUGGCUGUGGUACCAGCAUGGUGGAACAGACUGCUCCAACACAGCACAGGAACCCAAGUUAUGAGCAGCUGGGAAGGGUGUCUGUGCAGCAAAGCACCAUUCAAGUUUUACUUUUCAAAUUCCAUUGUAAUGAUAUCCUAACCACAAGAAGUCAAAUUUCCUAUCAUGUCAUGAUUUCAUCACACUAAUUUCUCUCAGAACCCCAACUCUUAGUAUGUGCCAAACAAUCAUGGCCCCUUUUUGGUGUGUUUUAUCAUCUCCAAGCUUCUCCUGGAAUCUGUAACCCAUUGCCAACUAACAUUUGUACACCACUCCCCACAAACACCACCCAGGAAGAGAGUAGACACAAUAUUUUAUGCUCACUUAAGCACAACUAUCCUGUUUUCACACCCAAAGACAGAUGGGGCAUUUAAAGCAUGCAAGUUGUAGGCACAAAUUUGCAUCACACUCUGGUCACCAACAUGGGAAUUUGCCCCAUUACCUACAACCAGCAUUAAGCAAACCAUGCAGGGCAGAUUGCCCUCUAUAAAACAUCAUGUUAAGACCACUGUUCAAGAAGAAUGGCUAUAAUUGCUAAAUAUUUUCCAACAAAAUAAAAAUUGUUGAAAGGAUAUGCAAAUAUUACUCUUACUCCAUUCAUGGGACAUUACUGGACAGCAUUAAUGUUCCAACUCCAUAAUCAAAACUUCCCAGGUGGGGACUUUGGGAUACCAGCAGUUGGAGUGACAUGAUUUUUUUUUUCUUUUUUUUUUUUUUUUUUUUUUUUGUAUUGGGCUUCUAUAAAAUGAAAAUAGACUAUUCAUAAUUCAACCCCCUUCCCCUGACUGAAGAACCCUAAUUUAAAGAAAAAAAACAUUCACUUGAAUGUUAAGAGCAUGCAUGAAUCAAAUAUGGAACUAAAAGACAUUUAAUGAUAUUUGUACAAACACUUUCCAGCAAUGACUUGGAUUUUAAUUAUCUAGUGGAUGAACCCUGCAUGUCAACAAAUCAAAUGGUGUUUUGCAGCCAAUUCCUAACUCUGUGGUCCAUGUCUCCUAGACCAAACUUGCUUUGCAGCUUUUGCACAAAUAUUUUUUCAUUUUGCACCUUAGUUCUACAGCCCCUCAAUUUUUUCCUCUGCUUUUUAGUUUCUAAACGCUCUUUCUUUCUGUCUAUACAAUCAACCACAGUGCAUGCAAAAUAUAAUGUGGGAUAUAAAACUGUGAAAGUAAAAUCUGGGUAAGUUGCAAGCAAUUUUUCUAGCAAAAAAAAAUACAUGUUUAAGAAGACAUAAAUAAAGAUUUUAAUAAGCUUCACACAAACAGGCACAUGCCUACUCAUUCCUCCAAAUUGUCAGAGCUCUUGCAUAAAACUUCUUUUAUAUUCAUCUUAGUCCCUGAAGUUACACACGUCUUAAAGUUAAAAAAGAUAGACUUGUUAAUAACACACAAAUGUUCAUAGACAUAACAUCUUUACAGAUAUCCUCUGUGAGCAGAUCAAGCCACUCUCCAUAUGUAUUUAAACAUAGUGGAAGGGUGGAGUUUUUAAGUUGUCAGAUCUGUGCCUGGGUAAGAGGGGCUCUAUUUUCACUCUUGGAGCAGGGAGAGAUUAGCAGCUUGAAAUCACUUUGACAGUUUCAGUUACUCUCCUGCAUACUGCAGGGAAUUUUAAUUCCAACCUGUGAAAUUGUAAUUGCUUCUCAAGAAGAGCAGGAGGAUUCUGGGUAAUGGACACAGCCAAGAUCAGUGUCAGAGUUGUGAGUUGCUGCCACUUCUGAUAUUACUUGCUGUUAUUCAAAAAUCACUCCAGCUUUCCAUAUGGGAAGUUGAACUGGGGAGUGAAACUAGACUAACAGUAGCUCUCAGAUGUUCAGAGAUCUGCAAGGAAUGAUGUAACAGAGGUGAAUCUCCUCAAAAAGCACCUUUGCUUCUUUCACAUGCUUUAUAGAACAAGCUUUACAUAAAACACUUCCUCUAUGUCAUACUCUUUUUCUAAACAAGUAUACUAUAACUAGAAAGCUACAACGAAAAACAGCUAAAUGUAUGCUAAAUGACCAAGUCCUCCAGCAUACAAUACACAAGUAGAAAAUAAAAUGUGUAUACUUAAUGUUGUCCACAAGAGAUUUAAGAUGUCUUUGCUACUCACGGUUCUGUGGUUUUCAAGAUUCCUCACUGAAAACAGCAAAAGAGAACUCAGAGCUACCACAAACACUUAAGAAAAAUAGUUGAGGCUUUCUUGGUAUCAAAUGGAAAUUAUAUUCUUUUUUUGCUCUGGCAAAAGGUCAUUGAAUGUAGAUUGCUUAUUAGCAGACACAUUCUCUAGUGAUGAGUGUGUUCAGCAGGUGUGAAAGUGGGAUCAAUUGACUAUGGGGUAACUUUUCCUGCAAUGACCUUGUUAAGCUGAGGUGCAGCAGAUUUCUUACCCACCCUGAGGGAAUACUUGGAAGUAGGUCUUAAACAUAAUGAUGAUGUAAAAAUUAAAAAUGCUGCCUGGCAGGGCACUUAGGGCAUUCAGGGAGACAAACAGGAUCAAAAAUCACGGAUCAGAUGUGUUCAGGUCAACUCCUUCCAUUAGGAGGAUGUACUUAUAGAGCUCACUCCACACUCACUGAGGUUCUCCAAGCUGCACCAGUGGCCCCAGGCAGUUCAGGCUUAGUCCAGGUGAGCUCUUUGACCAGAACUGAUCUGCUCAGCUCAGUGGCUUUGGAAGAUUUAGUUAUAAAUAAACAGAACACAAUGACAAACACAAUGCUAAUCUACAACACAAAGUGUCAAAAACCUCUCUCAAAAUCUAAAGGAAGGCAACAAAAUAAAUGAUAAACAACGCUUCCUACUUAUCAGAUUAAAGCUAAUUUUUAAGAAUAUACUGCAGGCAAUUUUGGCCUCUUUCAGUAUAUUGCACUAUUUCUAAGAAAAUAAGCUGGCCCCAUUAAAGUCAAUGAUGCACAGAAUCUAAAUCACAAGCUUCGUAAACCUCUGUAAUAGCUGAUGCAAUGAGUCUGUAAUUGCCACGAUUAGAUAAGCUAGAGUGGCUGACAGAGAUAAUGCUGAAGGCACACAACAUAUCUGCAUAGAUUAUUCCCAUCACAUAUGAAAAUCUGGCUCAGAUAUAAUGAUUUUGCCAAUCCACACUUUUCCUGAGGAUUUUGCAAUCUCUGGUGCUUUCCUGAAAAUUUCAACUCCCAGAGUCAUGUUGGUGGGUCUUUCUGAGAAUUUCUCAGAUUUGUUAAAAAUGUAAAUUACUCAUUGUUAUAUAUUCCUUGUUGUACAAUGUAUUGUAUAUAUUCCUUGUAAAAAAAAGGGUGAGAAAAAAAGUACCCCAACAAACAGAAGGAAAUUAAGGGCAUGGUUGUAUUUUCGUUUUUUCUUUUAAAACUCGUGGAUUUUGAGCCUUGGUUUAUGACCUUCAUUGGUUGCUACAAGAAGUAACAUAUUUGAGUCAUCACACACCUGAAGACAGUUACAUCUGUUGCUAUAAUUUACAGGAUGUCCUGAAAGCAUUAUGGUGGAACUUCCUAGUUAAUUGUCUGUAACUAUCAUGAAUCCCCAAUUUAUAAAGUACAAAGCACUUUUACUAGGGGGUUAUUCCUCAGCACAAUAGAGACAAUGUCCUGGUUUUGGCUGGGAUAGAGUUAAUUUUCUUCACUGCAACUGGUAUGGGACAAUGUUUUGGAUUUGCUGCUGCUGAGCAGGGCUCACAGAGUCAAGGCCCCUUCUGCAUUUCUGGGGAUGGCUAAGCACCUGCCUGUCAAAGUAAUGAAUUAUUUACUUCUUUGCUUUGCUUUGCUUGCAUGUGCUGCUUUUGCUUUACGUAUUUAAGUAUCUUUACCUCAACCCCUAAGUUUUAUCACUUUUACCCUUCUGAUUCUUGCCCCCACCCCAACGCAGUGCGGUGAGCGAGUGUCUUAGCUGCCUGCUAGGAUUGAAGCACAAAAGCCGUGCAAGACAGCUCAGCUCCAUCUGGAUAUGACACGAACAUUUAAAAACACCCUCAACAAUGCCUGUGUUAUGAUUUUAAACAGCCUUUGCAAGUGGAAGUUUGGAUGAAGGUUCAGAAAUGCGACAAGGCAUGAACAAACCAACUGUAUGAUGUGUUCAGGUGCUGGAAGAACUGGGCACACAGUCCAGUCCCUGACUGACCAGCACACUCUCAGGAUGUGUGGAGAUCCUGUCAUAACAAAAAUGGCUUGAAGAAAGUAAUUAGAAAUAUUCACUGUGUAAAAUGCAACCUCCCCACUAAUAGAGUAAGAAUUGUUUUAUUGAGCCAAUGCAUAGCUAAGAGAUUCCCAGGUAGUUCUCCAAGUGUUGUAUAAAAUCUACAGACUGUAUUAAAUCCAUCUUUUAACAGAACUCUAUCACCAGAAUGACAUCUUCCCAUUCAAUUAUAAAAACCCAACACCUUUAGAACUAUUUCUAUGUAAAAAAUAAUUCUUCUUGUAUUAACAAAGCCUAAUAGCUCAUUGUGAAGUUGAGAGAUGCAAGAUGGCAGGCAAAAAUUCUUUCAGAUAUGACAGCAAAAUAAAUAGCAACAAAUAACAAACUUUAAUGGCCUAGCAGUGCUCAUUCUAAUGUAAAAAGACAGAUACCAAAUGAUCACACUGCAUCAAGCAAAAUCUUUAGGAAAGCUUUAAAUAUCCUACCCAUAAAAGAUGACCAAUAUCACUCAAUGGAAAGACUCUUUAUAAACCUAAUGCAAGUUUAUCUGAUACAGCAAUUA